CCCUGUGGCUCAGUUGGUAGAGCAUGGUGUUUGCAAUGCCAGCAUGGUGUGUGCAACACCAGGGUUGUGGGUUCGAUUCCCACAGGGG
rfam:Salmo salar isolate Sally breed double haploid chromosome ssa14, whole genome shotgun sequence.